CUCUCCGGCGCCUACCAUCUCUUUCAGUCGACCUCUCCGGCGCCGACCAACACCACUCGUUCCUUGCGCCGCCUACAUAUCUAUUCCUCGUCGUCUCAACGGUCGACGCAGCCACGAACCACGUUCUCAAUCGCCUCCCCCAAAUCUUAAAACCCUUGGUGUCCAUGCCGCCGCCGCCGCCCCAAUCUCCGCCGAUCAACAAGCAACGAACAUCGACGCUGCUCUGAGCCUUUAUUCGGUCGCCCUAGCGCCGUGCUUCGCCGCUGCUUUGAGUGUCUGGUUUGCCUUGCUGUACUCCGGCUUCUCCACGGCUCUAAGGCCUUCUCCGGUCGCCGCUACACCUCAUUGAAGUCCACGAACAUCCACGCUAGCUGCUCUGAGCCUUUGUCCGGUCGCCCUAGCGCCGUGCUUCGCCACUACUUUCAGCCUCUGGUUUGCGUUGCUGUACUCCGACUUCGCCGCUGCUCUAAAACUUUCUCUGGUUGCCGCCACUCUUCAUUGAAGUCCAGCUGCUCCUUGAGAGUUUUCACAAAUGGACUUCCACUGAAACUGUGGAUCUUGUAUCUAGGCUGCUUCAAUACUCUCCAAGCUUAAGAUACUCUUCUAAGUAUAGCAGUUCAAUCAGCCAUGGAUGAAGAAGAAUAUGCUUCUAUGUCUAAGUUGCAGAAGAAUUUACAAGCAUCCCGGCCAUUGAUAAAGGGCCACCAAUUGAGCAGAAAAAAACUACUGUGGUUAAGUGUAAUCUUUGUUUACUGUUAGAAGACAAGCAUCCCGGCCAUUGAUAAAGGGCCACCAAUUGAGCAGAAAAGAAACUAUUGUGGUUAAGUGUAAUCUUUGUUUACUGUUAGAAGACUGUAAAAAUUUGAUGACAAUUAACCUUGAUGGCGUUGUCAUGUCUUGUUAUUAGAUUUUGAGAAGUUGU